rnacentral:tmRNA from 1 species
GGGGCUGAUCGGUUUCGACGGUGGUCGUGCUUCGAGGAGAAGCGGGCCGAGGAUGCAGGCUUAUCUCGUAAACGAUGCCUGUAAACCAAUAGUUGCCGAUAACUCGCGCAACGAGUUCGAACUCGCCGCCUGAGCGACUUCCAACUCCGUCGGCCUGGGAACCUGCUUCCGUCCCAGUAGCCGGCGUCAUCUAGGAAGCCACUGCUCGUAGCUCUCGUCAUCGGGGCUACGGGAACACUCAGAUGACUGGGCCUGUCCGUGAACGUGUCUGCGCGAGCACGGGGGCCGAGAAAAUCCAUAGCAGACUGCGCCCGGAGAAGUCCUCGAAAACCGAUACCGGACCCGGGUUCGAUUCCCGGCAGCUCCAC